rnacentral:pre_miRNA from 1 species
UAAAUACUCCCUCCGUUCGGAAAUACUUAUCCUAAAUAUGAAUGUAUCUAGAUUUAUUUUAGUUAUAGAUACAUUCAUUAUAUUUAUUUUUAAGACAAAUAUUUUCGGACGGAGGGAGUAUCAG